UCCUAUGGAUCAGCAAAGAAAAUGAUUUCUUGAGAUAGAAUCUACUCCUGGUGAAGAUGCUGUGAA
rnacentral:pre_miRNA from 1 species